CAAAAGCCAAAAGUUGCGUUAGCGAUAGAAGUGGUAUCCUUUUUUGAAGUGCAACGUAAAAAAAGAUAUAACGUAUAGCGCGACCUGAA
rfam:Lutibacter agarilyticus strain DSM 29150 genome assembly, contig: Ga0170404_107